GGGCCCACAGUGUCCACAGGCAUGGCUCGCAGGGAAACGCAGUGCAGCGCACACAGAGGUCUGGGUGCAGGCAGAAGCCAUUUCCUGCCCAGCCGGGUCCCGGUCAGCCCACCCAGUCACCCGAGCCACCCUGGGGCCAUGCUCAGAUAGUCUCUGGGUCCACCUGUGCCUGCCUUGCUACUUCCAGGCACCUUGACCGAGGGCUGUGCCCCACCCCCACACACACACACAUUAGCCAUGUGUGCACACGUGUGCCCACGUGCACAUGCACACGCAUGGAAUGGGAAAACAGAAAGCAACUCUUUGCCCCCACAGGAAGGGGGUCACUUCUUGGCCUGGUCUUGUCAGCUGCAGCCCCUGGGCCUCUGGGGGGCCGUGUCCUCUGGCCAUCUACCUAGGGUCACCCCUCAGUAAAGAACCCUGGGCAGGAAUCCCAUUUGUGAAGAUGCCUGAAUACAACGUCAUCUCAGUCUGCCCUGGACUUGUUGUCUUUUGUCUAUCUGCUGCCCAGCUGAGGCCCGGUGCCCUUUCUAACCCUUGAACAGCAUUCUUGGGACCUUAGGGUAUCCAGAAGUUUCUAGAAGGCAGAACCCAGGGCUGGUGGGAGAUGUCCUCUCCUGUCUUCUGGGAUAUCCCUCCAGCUCACCAAGGGGGUCUGGGCUACCCCUCUGCCCGCAUCCUGAGUGGCCUUGCUCCUGGUCCUUCCAGGUAGUCACGACCUUCCAGGACCCAAGGCCUGUCUGCUUCCAACAUAAGUCAUCCCUCGAUUAACUCAAGAGGCCCUGAAAGCUGGGAAGGCCCAGGGCCCUGUUCCUCUGGCGAGUGAGCAGCCUUGCCGUGGCCAAGUGGGUGUCGGCGAAGGGAGAAGGGCCCCGCUCAGCAGCAGCCGCAAGCCCACCCGAAUGGCAAGCCUAUGCUUGGGACACACUCUGUUCUGAUGCCCACCACAGGGGCUCCAACCUCAGAGCCUGUGGGGCACCCUGCUAUGGAGGAGCCAAGGGAAAGAAGAACCCAUAACUACCCUCGUCAGUCUCAUCCCCAUGGCGGUGGAGGCCUCAGGCAGCAGGGAUGAGGAAAGUGGCUCAGGACUCACUUUGUUCAUUUUCCUGCCUCCAGCCAAGCCCAUAGCUCACCCAGGAGGAUGUGUGGGAAGAGAGGCCUGAGGAGAAAUUUCCUGACACAUCCCUGUGAGGACCACCCGCCAAGGAGCCAGGAUGCCUGUAAUCUCAAGCACCAUCAAGCCCUGGACACUGGGCCUGUCUGGGACACUCCUGGGGCCACUGCCAGGCCAGCCAGACCCUGAGGAGCCCAGCUCAGGCCCAGAUGCUAAGUUCAACCUCAGAGGCAUAAGAAGAUAAACUGGGAAUCAGGUGACUCUCUCUUACAGAUGGGUAAACUGAGUCAAUGACUGAGUCUGUCCUCUUAUAACCAAGACCUUGAGCUGCCUUAUGCAGAGAGAAAGACCAAGUCCCACAGUCAUAUGGCAACCAGGAGGACUGGGGUCCAUCCUUCCAACUCCUGGACUGCCCCUGUUCCUGCUCCCCUACCCUGAUAUACUGUCCCCUAUCCUGUUUAGGGUCAUUCCAGAAAUUUCUGGAGUAAGGAUAUUCUUUCCCUUCCUAACACCAAGGAGCCCCUUCCUGCCUGUCUUUCUUUGGCUAGUUGUGAUGGGAGGAGGGGAAUCCAAGCUGUCUCCGUCCCUUGGUCAGAGAUAGUAGUAACAGGAAGCCCCAAAGGUUCCAAUCACCAGCCCAGGAACAGGACAUCCUAGCAAGAGUGCCCCAAACCAGGGCCUCUCCCAGACUUCCACGGGUGCUUAGAGCUGACCUCAAUGAUGCUGACCUCGGCUUCAAGACGGUGAGCAGUUGGGGGACAAGCAGGGCCCAAGUCUCACCCCUCAGGAGCUGGAUCAGAAGGGCAAGGAGGGGCUGAGACCAUAGAAAUCCACACCUGGGGCUCUGCUCUCUCGCCCUUGUUAGGAUUUUGCGGGAGGAAUCUCAAGAGGUCUUGGGGGUGCCCCAUGGUGGGGAGGGUCCCAAGACAAAAGCUUCUUUCAGGGAUGGAGAGAAGGAAGAGAGGGAGAUGAGACUGACCUUGGCCUCUGGAGACAGCUGGAGGCUGCUCAGGUCAGUACCUGCCACUCCCACUAAGGGAUGUUCCCCUGCUGAAGGGUGGGGCUCCUGCAGGCAUGGAGGCAGCCAGGCCUAAAGAUGGACCAGGCUUUUGAACUGCAAAAUGCCGCGAGGAUGAGCUGGUCAACAGCCAGAGCCUGCUGCAGACGGAAGAUCAAGAUGCAGAAUUGGGCAGUGGAGGGGAUGGCAAGCCAAGGGUAUGAGGAAGCCUGGCAGAGGGGAGGGCUGAGAAGCCCAUCGAGAGAGGGACCCUGAGUGACACAGCAUGGCUGAGUCAUGUCUCCCGUGCCAGGUGGUGCAACACCCCACCACCGCCACCCUCGAGGUCCGCAACCCUCCUCGCUUUCCCCUCCUGACAAUGCUGUACACGUGGGUAUCUGUCCCUUGCGACUGAGAGGCUUAACAAAUACAGACCCAUCUCGUAACAUGUCUGGACCAUGGACCUGUUAGGAUCUCCACAAAGGAGUAAACACAGUGGACGAGGUGGCCAGCCCUGGUUCCACCUUCAGUUCCAGCAGCUGCCCACAGUCAACCAGAGUGGACUUGGGGGGAGGUAGGGUACCAGGGUCCAAAUCCCCAGAGAGGACGAGCACAGACUCUGGAGUCAGGCAGAACAGGAGACCACAUGGACUCAGUCAUUCAUUCACCUCGAGACCUGGGAGCAGCCAUUGAAGGUCUCCAAGCCCAGGAAUCACCUCCUCCCUCCCUCCAAGGGCUGCUGAAGGAUGAGGCAGCAUCUGUCCCGCACCCAGGUCGGUGCCCGGGCACACAUGCCCCGAGAUGUGAGUCCAGUAGCCAUCAAGGGGCAACACAAGGUCUCCAGAGAUCUGUCUGCCUCCCUGAGAAGCUAAGGUCUGUGAACCGGCCAGAGACCAGCCACAUUUCCUGCCCGUUCCUCAGCCCAGCAGGGAUACAGGACACAGGACACCGUGAGACAAAGACAAGUCAUCCCAGGAACCCAAAGCCACGCUACGCCCAAAAGUUCGGGAGCAACUUACCAGAUCUUGUGGGCCCCCAUGUGGGCCCAGACCCCAGCCCAAAGCCAGGAUCUAACAGCACCCACCCCAAAAAAACUGCACAGGACCGUUGGAAUUUGGAAA